rnacentral:rRNA from 1 species
AAGAGAUGGCGACCGGCGCACGGGUGAGUAACACGUAUCCAACCUGCCGAUAACUCCGGAAUAGCCUUUCGAAAGAAAGAUUAAUACCGGAUGGCAUACGAAUAUCGCAUGAUAUUUUUAUUAAAGAAUUUCGGUUAUCGAUGGGGAUGCGUUCCAUUAGUUUGUUGGCGGGGUAACGGCCCACCAAGACUACGAUGGAUAGGGGUUCUGAGAGGAAGGUCCCCCACAUUGGAACUGAGACACGGCCCAA